GCUGGGAGUGGUGGCACAUGCCCGUAAUCCCAGUGGCUCAGGAGGCUGAGGCAGGAGGAUCGUGAGUUCAAAGUCACCCUCAGAAAAACUGAGGUCUUAAGCAGCUCAGUGAGAUUCUGUCUCUA
rnacentral:sRNA from 1 species